ACCCAGCUGGCUCAGUCGGUAGAGCGAGUGAUUCCUGAUCCCAGGGUCGUGACUUCAAGCCCCACGUUGGGCA
rnacentral:tRNA from 1 species